UGAGCUUCUUAUCCUUGUCAGGAAUGUGCUACCAUGUUUGCUGGGUGAUUGGUUAUCAGGAUGUAGCAAGCCUUAGCAUCAAUGAAACUACUAGAGUAAAAGUCCAGCAUGGAGGAAAGUUAUGGCGGCAUGUUGGAAGAUCCUGCUAUUAAGGCUGCAGUCCCCCAUGACUGGAUAACUCUCAGAGCUUGGAACAAAAUGGAAGACUCCCUUUCUCCGCAGGACUUCCCCUUCUCUGUCUUUGUCUGGAGAGCAUCUGUAGUCCCUAAGUGGUGAGCGAUGAGCCACAAAAUCCAUUAAUGUGAUCCAUGGCCAUCACCUCCUUCCUGCCCCAGCCUAUGGGCUGUGGUAAGAUGCCCCUGCAGGAGCUCUGAGCUCCUAUCAAAAUGGCAGCACCAUGACGCCUUCUUAGCCUGCAGCUGUCACAGAAGCUGUCCACAAUGGCAACAUCUUUCCUGCCUCAGCCUAUACAACCUUGGUGAAACACCACUGCGGAAGCUGUCCCACAGGAUUUGUCCACAAUGGCAGUACCUCCUCUCCAGCCUCUCCCAGCAGCUCCACAGAGAUGGCACCUCAGAGAAAGCUGGCUGUGGCUAUGAAGGACUUCCCACCCUAACCCAUAGAUCUGAUGCAGGGAAAAGGGGGUGAAAAAAAAGCCACCAAUCUGAGCAGAAAAAACACACCAUCCUCCAGAUUCCCACAAAACCCCACCAAUUCCUGAACAGGAAAAACCACCACUCCCCAAGCUCAGGACUUGAAAUCCCACCAAUCUUCAUUCUGGAAAUCUCUGUCUUGAGAAGCUCUGCCUCCUCAGAAAUCCUAUGUAAGCACUGCCCCUUUGUCAAGUUCCCUGCUAUCGGCUCCCAGGAGCAGAAGGCAGCCAUCCCUUGACUCAUCCCUCCACACCCUGGACCCUUCAGUAAAUCUCUUUCAUGAGAUUUUCUGCCUGGAGUGACUCUUGUUGGAAGAAGCCAGGAAGAAGAGAAGCGAAGAGAGAGAGCCGGGUUGAGGCUCCUGAGCUCCUCAGCUCAACCGGGGAUACCCUUCCCUGGGAGCUGCCCCACCUCUGAUGAGGAGUCAUGUUGAGGAGGCUCUUCUCAGAGCUGUGUGGUUACUGAGCUCCCAUGUCUCAGGAUGCCCUUCCACUGGCACAGUCUCAUCCCAGAGCUGGAAGGUUCCUGGAAGCUCCCGAGUCUCACUCAGGAUACCCUUCCACUGGGAUAUCUUCUCCUCUCAGAGCUGUAUGAUUCCUGGGGUUCUGAGUCCUAGGAUACCCUCCCAUUCGAGCAGAAACACAGGGUAACAUGGGAAGUCUUGGUGGGAGGAACAGGAAGAGGGGAAAUAAUGGAAUCAGAUUAUAAUCUCAAAAAAGAAAACCUACCUACCCUGCAAGGUUGUUCACAAAUUGCACACAAUUUUUGUCUCUUUGCUCAGCACUUGUCCACACUUACUGGACCUUCAUGUAAGUCUGUUGGCUUAUAGGCGAUCACAUUAGGUUCCUCCCAGGUACCUAACAAUAGCUUAUGUCACACCUGCUCCCAUUACCUGCUGCCAGAUCUGGGCUGCAUCUAAACCCCUGUUGGCUCUCUCUCCCUGUUCCCACAUGUUCCUGGCCAGUCCCUUUCCCUGUUCCCAUAUGUUCUUGGCUGGUCUCUCCCCAUUUCUGUCCUUUGUCCCCUCUUCCCUGCCUUCAUGGCUCUGCUCCCAUCUGUCUGCCUCUACCCCUUUUCUAGGUCCUCACUCCCUCCCCUCCCCUCCCCCCAAAUAAACCUUUAUAUAAUA